rnacentral:misc_RNA from 1 species
GAUGAAGAACGCAGCGAAAUGCGAUACUUGGUGUGAAUUGCAGAAUCCCGUGAACCAUCGAGUCUUUGAACGCAAGUUGCGCCUCAAGCCAUUAGGUUGAGGGCACGUCUGCCUGGGCGUCACAUAUCGUUGCCUGAUGCCAGUUUCCUCGUGAUGGGUGACUGUGCAGGGCGAAUGAUGGCUUCCCGUGAGCAUUGUUGCCUCAUGGUUGGUUGAAAAUUGAGUCCUUGGUAGGGAGCGCCGUGAUAGAUGGUGGUUGAGUGACGAACGAGACCCAAUCAUGUGAGACCCCUACCGAAUUUGGCCUUCAUGACCCACAUGCGUCUUUGGAACGCGCAUGACGAGACCUCAGGUCAGGCGGGGCUACCCGCUGAGUUUAAGCAUAUCAAUAAGCGGAGGA